UGGACACCAGAGACAACCUCUUUGUGGGUGAACUAUACACAGGUAAAGUGAAGAAAAUCCAGUAUUACAUGUAAACAAACUGUGUGUAUAUCUACAUAUAUAAACAAACUGUGUGUAUAUCUACAUAUAUAAACAAACUGUGUGUAUAUCUACAUAUAUAAACAAACUGUGUGUAUAUCUACAUAUAUAAACAAACUGUGUGUAUAUCUACAUAUAUAAACAAACUGUGUGUAUAUCUACAUAUAUAAACAAACUGUGUGUAUAUCUACAUAUAUAAACAAACUGUGUGUAUAUCUACAUAUAUAAACAAACUGUGUGUAUAUCUACAUAUAUAAACAAACUGUGUGUGAUACAUUGAUAUGAAAUGUUUACAUAUUGAUAGAUGAAAUACAAACUAUAUGUAUCUGUGAAUACAACACUUAAACAGGCUCUGUAUAAAUACUAUAGAGGAACAUUUCUGUGGAUUGUGCACAAAUUACAGGUAUAUUUUAUAUGUACAUGUAUUGUGUGUGUGUGUAAACAUACUCUUAUGUAUAUUGUGUAUAAUUAUAUUGCAUGUAUAUAAUAUUGUUUAUUUCUUAUUAUUUAAGAAAGAAUAAAAAUGUUAAAUAGUUCUAUGGGAUAUAAACUUGUUGGUCACAUGAUUAAAUCCUGUGAAGUCUGAAGGAAUUCUCACAAGAUUACAUCAUGUCCCAACCAACUUUAUCCAAGAGAACAUUUUAACAUUAAAAUAUAUUAUCAUAUUUACAUUGAGAUGAGAUCAUUCCAAAUCAUGACUUACUGUCUGUCAUACAUACCAGGUUAUAUGCUCCAUGUGACAAGCCGUCAGUUGACCUCUUGACCCUUCAGAAAGUUCUACUGAAUUCUUCACUUCAUCCUUCAAUAGAUUCAGAUGACAAGAGAAAUAGCAAUGUACUUUAUAUAAACAAACUGUAUUUAUUUUAAUGUUAAGAGACUGAUUGCAUUUACAUGUACCAUGUAAACAAAACAAUACUUAUAUACAAAUUGUACUUCUAUUCUCAUUAAUAAUUGUAUUUCAUGUUGAAUGAUUAAUAAAAAAAAUUAUUGUAUGUU
rnacentral:misc_RNA from 1 species